GACGAACGCUGGCGGCGUGCUUAACACAUGCAAGUCGAACGGAAAGGCCCUGCUUUUGUGGGGUGCUCGAGUGGCGAACGGGUGAGUAACACGUGAGUAACCUGCCCUUGACUUUGGGAUAACUUCAGGAAACUGGGGCUAAUACCGGAUAGGAUCUCCUGCUGCAUGGUGGGGGUUGGAAAGUUUCGGCGGUUGGGGCUGGACUCGCGGCUUAUCAGCUUGUUGGUGGGGUAGUGGCUUACCAAGGCUUUGACGGGUAGCCGGACUGAGAGGGUGACCGGCCACAUUGGGACUGAGAUACGGCCCAGACUCCUACGGGAGGCAGCAGUGGGGAAUAUUGCACAAUGGGCGGAAGCCUGAUGCAGCAACGCCGCGUGCGGGAUGACGGCCUUCGGGUUGUAAACCGCUUUCGCCUGUGACGAAGCGUGAGUGACGGUAAUGGGUAAAGAAGCACCGGCUAACUACGUG
rnacentral:rRNA from 1 species